AUUUUAUUAUGGAGAGUUUGAUCCUGGCUCAGGACGAACGCUGGCGGCGUGGAUUAGGCAUGCAAGUCGGACGGUAGAGCUUUAUCGUAAGAUAGAGUUUGAGAGUGGCGAACGGGUGAGUAACACGUAGGAAUCUACCCUUAAGA
rnacentral:rRNA from 1 species